GAUGAACGCUGGCGGCGUGCCUAAUACAUGCAAGUCGAACGAGGUGCUUUUGUAGUAAUACGAAAGUGUCCUAGUGGCGAACGGGUGAGUAACGCGUUGGUGACCUACCCCAAAGUGUGGGAUAACAGUUCGAAAGGAUUGCUAAUACCGCAUGUGGUCUUCGGAUUUAGAAACUGAUGACUAAAGGAGUAAUCCGCUUUGGGAGGGACCUGCGUCCCAUCAGCUAGUUGGUGAGGUAAUGGCUCACCAAGGCUACGACGGGUAGGGGACCUGAGAGGGUGACCCCCCACAAUGGAACUGAAACACGGUCCAUACACCUACGGGUGGCAGCAGUAGGGAAUAUUGCACAAUGGGCGAAAGCCUGAUGCAGCAACGCCGCGUGUGCGAUGAAGGCCUUCGGGUCGUAAAGCACUUUUCUGAGGGAUGAGCAAGGACAGUACCUCAGGAAUAAGUCUCGGCUAACUACGUGCCAGCAGCCGCGGUAAU
rnacentral:rRNA from 1 species